UUCAGGUUUCAGCUUUGAUAUGUUAACCACCUGGAACUCCUUACAAUGAGAAAAAUACGUACAAGCUGAAAACUCAGUGAUUUUCUCGGACCAAUCAGAGACUUAAAGCUGCAGGCCACGGACCAAUCAGAGUUAACCUUGCAGGGCAAACCACCACCCUGGAAUCCGGAGAGUCAGGUGUGCCAGGAGAGGUACGCAGCCUGAGAUCUGCUUGCCUGCAGCAGAAGCCGCUGGGACCAAAAGCUGAUUUUAGCAGUUUGAAGGCUGAGAUGCAUUUUGUUGUGUCAGGAGAAACUGUCCAAUGGGCAAGUAGAGGGAGCCAACAGGGAUCUUUCUAGGCUCUUCUCCAUGAGCAGCUGAUGGGGUUUCUGGAGUAAAGCCCAUGACACUGUGGGCCACCCCCAAGCCUGGGUCCCUGCCCCAGAGAUCCUCGCUCUUCCACCAGUCCGCCCUUGGUCUUCACCUGGUCCUGCCAGUGCAUCGCUCUGGUGGCUUCUGCUCCAGGGUCUUUCAGUACCAUCCUUGGCCUUCCACAGAUGCGGAGUAAAGCACUUUCUAGCAGGGCCCCUCCCUGUGGAGAAUGUAUUCUGCCUCCCACUGAUGUCAAGCUUGGCCCUGUAACUUUGGCCAAUGCAAGGCCAGCAGAAGUGAAGGAGGCCACAUCUGAGAAGUUUAAAGAGCCACCCCAUGAUUCCACCAUUGUUUCUUUCCCUGUGCAGUGAGAACACAUGUCCCAGGUGCAGGCAAGCUGUGAUAUCAGCCUGGAUCCCAGCCAGUGAAGAGAGAGGAUGGAAUCCUUCAUUCUGGGACACAAGAGAUGUUUGGAGGCCGAUGGCCCCAUUUCAGCUGCCGGGAGGGACCUGCUGGCCAUGGAGGACUGAUACCCCCUACUGAAGCUGAUCUUGCCAUAUUCACAGGAAGUUCUCCAAUGUGCAGCAGCUACGACCAAGUGAGGCGCAAGUGAGCGUCAUGCUCAUCUCUGCCGUUUCAUCUCUGGUGGUUCAGAGAGAGAGAACCACCACGCUCUCGAUCUCGGUCACAUGGGGCUGAGUGACUCUCCUCCUGCUCCCGAGAAGGCUCCUUCAAUUCCAACUGCUGAACCGUAGUUUUAAAGGCCGAUCUUUUGCACCAGAUCCUGGAUGUGAUUUCAGAAGGAAAACUUCUUGAUCCCUUGGCUAUUCCUCUUUCUUCCACAUUUUCCUAAACAUAGUGCCAGUUAAAUAGUCAUUUACUUCUCUUUACAGUCCUCUAGUGACUUCUUUCCGAGGUCCUGCUUUGGUUAAAAACUAAAUGAGGGAUGUCUUCCCUUCCCCCACCCCACAAAUGACCCUUUUUCUUCAAGGAGACCAAUACAAAAUACAACAGGCUAAUAGUAAUAGAAAUUCUUGUAACAUAACAACCACACACACACACACACAAAUUGCAGACCACCAAGCCUAUGGGAUUUCAGUGCAUGAAAUGGUUACGUGUUCCAGAGUAACUGGGGAGAGCCUGGAGGAGACAGUGAGGUGUGAGUGGGAACUUGGAAGAUGAGCAGACUGUGAUAGUAGAGAGGAGGGAAAGCACGUGGAUAUAGUGUGUCUGCGGAAAACUGUCCCGUCCACUCAAACAAGAGGACGCCCAGUCUGGAUGCCACUAAAGGGAUGCCAGUUCUAGAGGGAAUGGACGCCCGGGCUGCUCAGUGUUUGCAGGGCUGGAUAAAUAAAGGUGUUGGUUGGGUACACUCGGU